rnacentral:rRNA from 1 species
AUUGAACGCUGGCGGCAGGCCUAACACAUGCAAGUCGAACGAGUGGCGGACGGGUGAGUAAUGUCUGGGAAACUGCCCGAUGGAGGGGGAUAACUACUGGAAACGGUAGCUAAUACCGCAUACCAUCGGAUGUGCCCAGAUGGUAGUAGCUAGUAGGGCGGGGAACGGGUCACCUAGGCGACGAUCCCUAGCUGGUCUGAGAGGCUGACCAGCAACAGUGGAACUGUGACACGGUCCAGACGCCUACGGGAGGCAGCAGUGGGGAAUAUUGCACAAUGGGCGCAAGCCUGAUGCAGCCAUGCCGCGUGUAUGAAGAAGGCCUUCGGGUUGUAAAGUACUUUCAGCGAGGAGGCGUUACUCGCAGAAGAAGCACCGGCUAACUCCGUGCCAGCAGCCGCGGUAAUUC